CGCGAUCUCGGCUCACUGCAAGCUCCGCCUCCCGGGUUCACGCCAUCUUGCCACUAAACCUGAUUUACCAACAUAACCUGUUUCUGGCCAUGCUGUGAAUCUGCAUUCUUUACUGUGUCCUUGGGAUACUAGGAGGAACCAGAGGAGCAGAUCCUGCUAGGAGGCUAAGCAUGAAGAAGGAAUUCAAAGAAACCUUGUGGAGAACGAAGACACAGCAGGGAGUCUCUGAUCAAGUGCCACAUCUUUAGAGAAGCUUUUCCAAACAACCGAUUAUGAAGUACACAUUAACAAUGAAGCCUCUUUUCAAGUAAAGAAACUGGUGAAGUCUAUUUAUUUAACCAGUUAUUCAUUGUAUUCUUUAGUUAAGUCACACUUUUCUUCAUGUCUCAUUUUAAUUCCAUAUUGCUUUUGAAGUUUUUGUGUCUUUAAAUCACAAACGAGGCCGGGCGCAGUGGCUCACACCUGUAAUCCCAGCACUUUGGGAGGCCGAGGCAGGCGGAUCACGAGGUCAGGAGAUCGAGACCAUCCUGGCUAACACAGUGAAACUCCAUCUCUACUAAAAAAAUACAAAAAAUUCACUGGGCGUGGUGGCGGGCGCCUACAGUCAGUCCCAGCUACUCGGGAGGCUGAGGCAGCAGAAUGGCGUGAACCCGGGAGGCGGAGCUUGCAGUGAGCUGAGAUCACGCCAUUGCACUCCAGCCUGGCGACAGAGCAAGACUCUGUCUCAAAAAAAAAAAAAAAAAAAGCCUUCAAGCUCCAGAUAAUCCUCAGUGAGGUAUACUGUCCGCUCAAUAUCCAAGAGUCACCCUUCUACAAGGGACCUCUAGACUGCCCAUAAGUGAGACAUGACAGAGGUAAAGUCAUGCUCCUGUCUCCCUUGGACCUGGCUGGAAACUGCAUUCAUCAACCCAUGGAACCACCCCCCUGCCAUGAAAGCUAGCAAGAGGCCAAGACCCACAGAACAACCACCAUCAUCCCUCUGUCAGCAGGAAGCGGUUACAAAAGACUAACCUUUGCCCAUUUUCCCCAAAGAAUUGGGGUCUUGGAAUCUUGAGGGAGGAAAUGUUACAGUAGGUAGCUAGUCAGACAUGAGCAGAGCAGAAGAGGGCUUACACACACACACACACACACACACACACACACCCCACACACAAAGAAUCCUGGGCAACCAUCAGGCGAUUGUAAGGUGGUUGUUAACUGUGUCUCUAAAAUAACGAUUGGUCACAACCAGUGCAAUGGAAAGGCAGUCUCUCAAUAAACAGAAACACCUGGAGCUGAUGAUCAGCAGCUUCCUGAUCAGGUCUCAGAAGUUUGGCAAGCUGGCCUACACAUGCGCACUAAGAGGCAAAAUGGCACAGUUUAACUGGUAUAUGACUUCCAAUGGACAUUCAGCAUGUAAGGGAAAAAUGCCUCAAGUAAGCAUGCAUACAACUCCACUAAACACACUGUGCAUGCUCCCCUCUCAAGUGCUGGCAGGCCAGUGCACAUGGGGACAGCCCACCCCAAAGAAAGUCUCAAGGGUGUAGGGAUGCAAGACCCCGGGAAUAUGCCAAUGUAUUAAACCCUAAGUCAAAAGGUCAAAUCAUGCACUUGUCUUUCAAGUCACCCACUUGACCCUCUUCCAAGUGUACUUUCCUUCCUUUUGUUACUACUCUAAAGCUUUUUAAUAAAUUUUCACUUUUUGAAUUCUUGUCUGCAACUUAGACUAACCUUAAUGAAAGGGGUUUCCCCCUAUAAAACCAUCAGAUCUCAUAAGACUUAUUCACUACCUCGAGAACAGUAUGGGGGAAACUACCCCCAUCAUUCAAUUAUCUCCCACUGGGCCCCUCCACAACAUGUGGAAAUUAUGAGAGCUACAAUUCAAGAUGAGAUUUGGUGGGGACACAGCCAAUCAUAUUAGUAAGAAUAUGCUUACUUCUGUAAAAAGCUGCCAAACUCUCUUCUAAAUUGGCUGUAACUGUUUGCAUUUUCAUUAGUAAUGAAUGAGAGUUUCUGUUGUUCCACAUCCUCUCCAGCAUUUGGUGUAAGCAUUUAGAAUUUUAGACAUUCUACUAGGUGUAUCAUGGUAUCUCCUCGUUGUUU
rnacentral:lncRNA from 1 species